rnacentral:rRNA from 1 species
AUACGUAGGGGGCAAGCGUUAUCCGGAUUUUUUGGGUGUAAAGGGUGAGUAGGCGGGCUUGUAAGUCAGGUGUGAAAUGCAGCUGCUCAACAGCUGAAUUGCAUUUGAAACUGCGAGUCUUGAGAGUCGGAGAGGUAAUUGGUAUUCCCAGUGUAGCGGUGAAGUGCAUAGAGAUUGGGAGGAACACCAGUGGCGAAGGCGGAUUACUGGGCGACAACUGACGCUGAUACACGAAAGCGUGGGGAGCAAAAAGGAUUAGAUACCCUGGUAGUCCACGCCGUAAACGAUGAAUGCUAGGUGUGGGGCAGAAAUGUUCCGUGCCGCAGUUAACACAAUAAGCAUUCCACCUGGGGAGUACGGCCGCAAGGUUGAAACUCAAAUGAAUUGACGGGG